rnacentral:rRNA from 1 species
AGCUUGCUGGGUGGAUUAGUGGCGAACGGGUGAGUAACACGUGAGUAACCUGCCCCUGACUCUGGGAUAAGCGUUGGAAACGACGUCUAAUACUGGAUAUGAUCACUGGCCGCAUGGUCUGGUGGUGGAAAGAUUUUUUGGUUGGGGAUGGACUCGCGGCCUAUCAGCUUGUUGGUGAGGUAAUGGCUCACCAAGGCGACGACGGGUAGCCGGCCUGAGAGGGUGACCGGCCACACUGGGACUGAGACACGGCCCAGACUCCUACGGGAGGCAGCAGUGGGGAAUAUUGCACAAUGGGCGAAAGCCUGAUGCAGCAACGCCGCGUGAGGGAUGACGGCCUUCGGGUUGUAAACCUCUUUUAGUAGGGAAGAAGCGAAAGUGACGGUACCUGCAGAAAAAGCACCGGCUAACUACGUGCCAGCAGCCGCGGUAAUACGUAGGGUGCAAGCGUUGUCCGGAAUUAUUGGGCGUAAAGAGCUCGUAGGCGGUUUGUCGCGUCUGCUGUGAAAUCCCGAGGCUCAACCUCGGGCUUGCAGUGGGUACGGGCAGACUAGAGUGCGGUAGGGGAGAUUGGAAUUCCUGGUGUAGCGGUGGAAUGCGCAGAUAUCAGGAGGAACACCGAUGGCGAAGGCAGAUCUCUGGGCCGUAACUGACGCUGAGGAGCGAAAGCAUGGGGAGCGAACAGGAUUAGAUACCCUGGUAGUCCAUGCCGUAAACGUUGGGCGCUAGAUGUAGGGACCUUUCCACGGUUUCUGUGUCGUAGCUAACGCAUUAAGCGCCCCGCCUGGGGAGUACGGCCGCAAGGCUAAAACUCAAAGGAAUUGACGGGGGCCCGCACAAGCGGCGGAGCAUGCGGAUUAAUUCGAUGCAACGCGAAGAACCUUACCAAGGCUUGACAUACACCGGAAACGGCCAGAGAUGGUCGCCCCCUUGUGGUCGGUGUACAGGUGGUGCAUGGUUGUCGUCAGCUCNGUGUCGUGAGAUGUUGGGGUUAAGU